rnacentral:rRNA from 1 species
GAGUUUGAUCGUGGCUCAGAUUGAACGCUGGCGGCAGGCCUAACACAUGCAAGUCGAGCGGAUGAAGGGAGCUUGCUCCUGGAUUCAGCGGCGGACGGGUGAGUAAUGCCUAGGAAUCUGCCUGGUAGUGGGGGAUAACGUCCGGAAACGGGCGCUAAUACCGCAUACGUCCUGAGGGAGAAAGUGGGGGAGUCUUCGGACCUCACGCUAUCAGAUGAGCCUAGGUCGGAUUAGCUAGUUGGUGGGGUAAAGGCCUACCAAGGCGACGAUCCGUAACUGGUCUGAGAGGAUGAUCAGUCACACUGGAACUGAGACACGGUCCAGACUCCUACGGGAGGCAGCAGUGGGGAAUAUUGGACAAUGGGCGGAAAGCCUGAUCCAGCCAUGCCGCGUGUGUGAAGAAGGUCUUCGGAUUGUAAAGCACUUUAAGUUGGGAGGAAGGGCAGUAAGUUAAUACCUUGCUGUUUUGACGUUACCAACAGAAUAAGCACCGGCUAACUUCGUGCCAGCCGCCGCCGUAAC